UACGUAGGGGGCAAGCGUUGUCCGGAAUCAUUGGGCGUAAAGAGCGUGUAGGCGGCCCGGUAAGUCCGCCGUGAAAGUCCAGGGCUCAACCCUGGGAUGCCGGUGGAAACUGUCGGGCUAGAGUCCGGAAGAGGCGAGUGGAAUUCCUGGUGUAGCGGUGAAAUGCGCAGAUAUCAGGAGGAACACCAAUGGCGAAGGCAGCUCGCUGGGACGGUACUGACGCUGAGACGCGAAAGCGUGGGGAGCAAACAGG
rnacentral:rRNA from 1 species